GGCAACCCGCUGGAGUUGGCUUCCCCAAUGUGGAAGUUUUGUUCUUUCUCUCUUUGGGUGCACGCUGCUUUUAUGAGCUGUAACGCUCACUGCGAAGAUCUGCAGCUUCCCUCCUAAGCCCACAGAGACCAUGAGCCCACCAGGAGGAAUGAACAACUCCAGACACGCCGCUUUAAGAGCUUGUAACACUCACCACGAAGGUCUGUAGCUUCAGUCCUGAGCCAGUGAGACCACGAACCCACCAGAAGGAAGAAACUCCGAACACAUCUUAACAUCAGAAGGAACAAACUCCAGACACGCCGCCUUUAAGAACUGUAGCACUCACCGCGAGGGUCCGCGGCUUCAUUCUUAGUCAGUGAGACCAAGAACCCACCAAUUCCAGACACAGUGUGACAGACAAGCCAUGGAGAAUCUAGACAAAGAGGGCUGCACGCCAGCACCGUGAGGCAGGAACACGCCUGCUGUGCUCUAGGCACACCCAAGUGAAAUGCUGAGGGGCAAGGUGGGAGCAUCAGUUAGGGCCCUGGGGGCCACGAAAAGAAUUUGGAGUGUCCUCUGAGAGAGAUGGGGACCACUGGAAAAUUGCGCAGAAAAGUGACAUGGUCUGAUUUACGUUCUAAGGAAAUCGUUCUGGGUGCUCUGUUGGGAACAGACUGCGUUAGCGGGGGUGGGGAUGAGGGUGGAAGCAUGGAGAGUCAUUAGGGGGCUAAAGCAAAGUUUAGGCCAAAGAUGAUGGGGGCUUAGAGCAGGAGAGGAGGGAUGGAAAGGGGUGAUCCGGUCAUAUUUUGAAAUAGCUCUGGCAGGAUCUGCUGACGAAGUCUACAUGGGGUGGGAGAGAGAGAAGGGUGGAGGAUGGCCCAGGUUUUGGACCUGAGAGGCCUGAGUCUGUAUCAUAACCAGCCUGCAAGGCAAAAAUGGGUCUCGUUCUUCCUCACCAUAUCCUCAGGAAUGUGGAGUGGGUGCCGGGCCAGGACGAUGAUCAGGGAGAGAGGAGGGGAGCAAGGACAAAAAGACGACAUGGGGGAACCGGUAGGGGAAGAAGGAAUAUCUACACUGUGAACAUUCCUAAAGUCCUGCCUCCCCCACGAAGUCUGUGGGACU
rnacentral:lncRNA from 1 species